rnacentral:rRNA from 1 species
AUACGGAGGAUCCGAGCGUUAUCCGGAUUUAUUGGGUUUAAAGGGUGCGCAGGCGGGAGAUUAAGUCGGCGGGGAAAUUUUUCAGCUCAAAUGUAAAAGGGCCUUCGAAACUGGUUUCCUUGAGUGUAGAUGAAGUAGGCGGAAUGUGGGGUGUAGUGGUGUAAUGCAUAGAUAUCACGAGGAACUCCGAUUGCGCAGGCAGCUUACUAAACUACUACUGACGCUCAGGCACGAAGGCGUGGGGAUCAAACAGGAUUAGAUACCCUGGUAGUCCACGCAGUAAACGAUGAUUACUAGCUGUUUGCGAUACAAUGUAAGCGGCUGAGCGAAAGCGUUAAGUAAUCCACCUGGGGAGUACGUUCGCAAGAAUGAAACUCAAAUGAAUUGGCGGGG